rnacentral:misc_RNA from 1 species
UCCCCGUUAACCGGGGCAGUCCCCUUAGAGUUCCCACCAUUACGUGCUGGCAACUAAGGACAGGGCUUGCGCUCGUUGCGGGACUUAACCCAACAUCUCACGACACGAGCUGACGACAGCCGUGCAGCACCUGUCUCACGGUUCCCGAAGGCACCAAUCCAUCUCUGGAAAGUUCCGUGGAUGUCAAGACCAGGUAAGGUUCUUCGCGUUGCAUCGAAUUAAGCCACAUGCUCCGCCGCUUGUGCGGGUCCCCGUCAAUUCCUUUGAGUUUUAGCCUUGCGGCCGUACUCCCCAGGCGGAGUGCUUAAUGCGUUAGCUGCGGCACAGAGAGGGUUGAAGACCUCCCCACACCUAGCACUCAACGUUUACGGCUGGGACUAC